UAAUAGCUACUCUGAGAUUUAUUGCUCAUCGUGGACCUCUUUCAACUCGACUUAUUGCGUUGGACGAUGUCAGCUUAUCAAAAGGAUCAUGUCAAGAUAUCUCAAACAAAAGAUGUGAUUUUGGUGACAUCGGUACGUGCAAUGCUAGGAUCAUUUGCAACAACUGCGAUCAGGAAUACAGAUGGAAAUGGACCGAUGGCACGCUUGUUGAUGAAGAUAAUGAAAUGUCAAACG